GAGGAGGAGGAGGAAAAGAGAAGAAAGGCAGAAUUUUAAGUGACAGAGAAACACGUGUUGGCUAAUUUCGAGUUGCCGUCUCUGGUGAUUCGAUCUGCCCGACACGCGUUUCAUAUGUUUAAGAGGAGAUUAUGGGCUCUGUUCUAAAACCCUCCAGGCCCCAAGUACACCCAUUGGACAAGGUUUUCGUAGGAGUUGUUGGCAUUUCCAGAGGUGCCUUUAUGACCCUGGUGGUAGUCUGACCCUUCUUCUGUACCGUGAACCUAAAGAAACACUCGACUGAUCUCCACACAUUUGAUAAGGAUUUCAUAGGAGUUUUGUGCGUUGCCAGAGGUGCUGUUAUGACCCUGGUGGUAGUGUGAUCCUCCUUCUGUACCGUGAACCUAAAGAAACACUCAUGAGAAGUUGACAACCCGAUUGAUCUCCACACAUUUGACAAGGUUUUCGUAGGAGUUGUGGGUAUUUCCAGAGGUGCUGUUAUGACCCUGGUGGUAGUGUGACCCUUCUUCUGUACCGUGAACCUGAAGAAACACUCAUUAGAAGUUGACAACCCGAUUAAUCUUCACACAUUUGACAAGGUUUUCGUAGGAGUUGUGGGUAUUUCCAGAGGUGCUGUUAUGACCCUGGUGGUAGUCUGACCUUUCUUCUGUAUUGAC